rnacentral:sRNA from 1 species
UGCACUUGAUGGACGCACGAGUGUCUGA